GACGAACGCUGGCGGCGUGCCUAAUACAUGCAAGUCGAGCGAACAGAUGAAGUGCUUGCACUUCUGACGUUAGCGGCGAACGGGUGAGUAACACGUAAGGAAUCUACCUAUAAGCGGGGGAUAACAUUCGGAAACGGGUGCUAAUACCGCAUAAUAUUUUCUUCCGCAUGGAAGAAAAUUGAAAGACGGCUCUGCUGUCACUUAUAGAUGACCUUGCGGUGCAUUAGUUAGUUGGUGGGGUAACGGCCUACCAAGACGAUGAUGCAUAGCCGACCGGGUGGGUUGAUCGGCCACAUUGGGCCUGAGACACGGCCCAAACUCCUACGGGAGGCAGCAGUAGGGAAUCUUCCGCAAUGGGCGAAAGCCUGACGGAGCAAUGCCGCGUGAGUGAAGAAGGCCUUCGGGUCGUAAAACUCUGUUAUAAGAGAAGAACAAAUUGUAGAGUAACUGCUACAGUCUUGACGGUAUCUUAUCAGAAAGCCACGGCUAACUACGUGCCAGCAGCCGCCGUAA
rnacentral:rRNA from 1 species